ACGUGGCACAGGGGCCCGAUGCAUCUGGCUGUUAACCAGAAGGUUGGUGGUUUAAGCCCACCCAGAGAUG